UACGUAGGGUGCGAGCGUUAAUCGGAAUUACUGGGCGUAAAGCGUGCGCAGGCGGUUUUGUAAGACAGAGGUGAAAUCCCCGGGCUUAACCUGGGAACUGCCUUUGUGACUGCAAGGCUUGAGUGCGGCAGAGGGGGAUGGAAUUCCGCGUGUAGCAGUGAAAUGCGUAGAUAUGCGGAGGAACACCGAUGGCGAAGGCAAUCCCCUGGGCCUGCACUGACGCCCAUGCACGAAAGCGUGGGGAGCAAACAGG
rnacentral:rRNA from 1 species